GGGGAUGAUUUGGUUUCGACGGGGGUGUGGAGGCAGGAAUAGCGGGCGGCGGCGCCUGACCGCCAUAAAACGGGCAACCUUAUAAAUCAAAGAACAACAACGAACCUGUUCUUCUCGCUGCUUAACUAGCGAGCGUUCCCGCCGGGAGGCCCACGGCCCGGCAGCGGAGCGUCGAUUCGUGGGGAACGUGCGCGCGGUAAGCUUUGCCCGUGCCACGCAUCAUGAAGCUACCGGAGCGGACCGGCUUGCGUGUUGGCCGCCGUGACGGGAACGGAGGAGUCCGCUUCUCAAAACAACCCGCUGCGCCCGGAGAAGUUCCUGUUCAAGCGCUUUCGGACGGGGGUUCGAUUCCCCCCAUCUCCACCA
rnacentral:tmRNA from 1 species